rnacentral:rRNA from 1 species
UAAUACAUAGGGGCCAAGCGUUAUCCGGAAUUAUUGGGCGUAAAGGGUGAGUAGGCGGUUAGUUAAGUUUAAGGUAUAAGCAGAGUGCUCAACGCUCUGAGGCUUUAAAAACUGGCUAACUAGAGUUAGAUAGAGGCAAGUAGAAUUCCAUGUGUAGCGGUAAAAUGCGUAAAUAUAUGGAGGAAUACCAGUGGCGAAGGCGGCUUGCUGGGUCUAUACUGACGCUGAGGCACGAAAGCGUGGGGAGCAAACCGG